GAGUUUUUUUUACUUUUGGACGUCUUCAUAUUUCUACAGACGGUCACCACGAGUCUCGUGAAUGUAUUCCGCCAUGGGUACCUUCGUGGUAUUAAUUGCACUGAUGACGUCGACUGUUACUGUCUGCAGUGUAAGCCGCCGCUUCGUUAACGUGCAAGACUUCAAAGAAUGCGCAAAAGAUAACCUUCAUCCACACGCGUACAAGUACAUUGAAAGCGUUUUCACCCGUGGCCAGACUCACGACGAGAAUAUUGAUGCUUUCAAGACAUUUCGUCUACGGCCAAGGCAUUUGCGAGAUGUGAGUCAUAUUGAUACAAGUACAACUGUUCAAGGACAAGCAGUAGAUAUCCCAAUAGGCAUUUCUCCGUCUGCUUUUCAUAAAUGGUUCCACCCAGAAGGAGUGAUAGG